GUGAAGUGAUGAAUCUGUUUAUCCAUUCGCUGAGCGGCCAUCUGGUCUCUGUCUCUAGCCCUGCCCUCGUUCUGGGGGCGGAGCCUCUCCACAGCAGUGUCAGUGUCGCCAUGGCGUUCUGUCAGCGGCGACCUGACGCUGCACGGAGAGAAUGACUUGACUGGACUGCUGCAGAGACGAUUUAAAUGUUCUGAUCAC